rnacentral:lncRNA from 1 species
UAUAAUCCAACCCUCUAUCUUUCAUUAUUAGCAAAUGUAUCCCAAAUCUUAACUUAUUUCCAACUUACAAAUUCAAAAAUUGUGGAUCAUAACUUAAUUUAAUCAUUUGGUCAAUUGAAGUCCUAACAAAAUAAUCGACCACAUUCAAUUUCAUACUUGACUUAAGGUUCGACUAAUUAAUAAUCACUUCACGUAUACGCAACAUUUAACACCUCAUGCUUGUAGUCAUUAGCUAUCUCUAACAU